rnacentral:rRNA from 1 species
GACAGAGGGUGCAAACGUUGUUCGGAAUUAUUGGGCGUAAAGGGCUCGUAGGCGGUUUGUCGCGUCGGGAGUGAAAACCCAGGGCUUAACCCUGGGCUGGCUUCCGAUACGGGCAGACUAGAGGUAUGCAGGGGAGAACGGAAUUCCUGGUGUAGCGGUGAAAUGCGCAGAUAUCAGGAGGAACACCGGUGGCGAAGGCGGUUCUCUGGGCAUUACCUGACGCUGAGGAGCGAAAGUGUGGGGAGCGAACAGG